rnacentral:tRNA from 1 species
UGGCUCAGAGGUUAAGCAUCUGCCUACAAUGCAGGAGACCUAGGUUCGAUCCCUGG